AGUCGGCAUUGCCGGCGUUCAUGGAGACAUUGUCGAUGAUCGCAGAGACUUUGUCCAUAAUCUCAGAGACAUUGUCCGCGAUCGCAGAGACGUAGUCCACGAUCACAGAAGACCAGGUGUCACCACUUCGUCCACGAUCGCUGAGACGUCGUCCAUGAUCGGAGAGACAUUGUUGAGGAUGAGGGAGACAUCGUCCACAAUCAGAGACAUUGUCCGUGAUCGCAGAGACCUUGUCAAAGAUGAGAGAGACGUUGUCCAUGGUCAGAAACAUUGUCUCUGCUUCGCAGAGCUCUGCGCAAGAAUCGGUAGUGACACUGUGGUUCCUCGAUUCGACGGCAUGACCGCGAUCAGCUGACAUUGUUAAUGAUCACAGAGAAACAGUCUAUCAUCAGAGACUUGGUCCACGAUCACAGACACAUUGUCAAUGAUUGCAGAGACUUUGUCCAUAAUCUCAGAGACAUUGUCCGCGAUCACAGAGACGUAGUCCUCGAUCACAGAAGAUCAGGUGUCACCACUUCAUCCACGACAUCGUCCAUGAUCGGAGAGACAUUGUUGAGGAUGAGGGAGACAUCGUCCUCGAUCAGAGACAUUGUCCGUGACUCGUGGUGACUCGGUCCCCGAUAAGUCGGCAUUGCCGGCGUUCACGGAGACAUUGUCGAUGAUCUCAGAGACUUUGUCCACGAUCUCAGAGACAUUGUCCGCGAUCACAGAGAGUCUUCGUACAGUGACGUUCUUUGAGACCAGGACAGAGGCCUCCAGGUGUCACCACUUCAUCCACGACAUCAUCCACGACAUCGUCCACGAUCGCUGAGACAUCGUCAAUGAUCGGAGAGACAUUGUUGAGGAUGAGGGAGACAUCGUCCUCGAUCAGAGACAUUGUCCGUGACUCGUGGUGACUCGGUCCCCGAUAAGUCGGCAUUGCCGGCGUUCAUGGAGACAUUGUCGAUGAUCGCAGAGACUUUGUCCAUAAUCUCAGAGACAUUGUCCGCGAUCGCAGAGACGUAGUCCACGAUCACAGAAGACCAGGUGUCACCACUUCGUCCACGAUCGCUGAGACGUCGUCCAUGAUCGGAGAGACAUUGUUGAGGAUGAGGGAGACAUCGUCCACAAUCAGAGACAUUGUCCGUGAUCGCAGAGGCCUUGUCAAAGAUGAGAGAGACGUUGUCCAUGGUCAGAAACAUUGUCUCUGCUUCGCAGAGCUCUGCGCAAGAAUCGGUAGUGACACUGUGGUUCCUCGAUUCGACGGCAUGACCGCGAUCAGCUGACAUUGUUAAUGAUCACAGAGAAACAGUCUAUCAUCAGAGACUUGGUCCACGAUCACAGACACAUUGUCAAUGAUUGCAGAGACUUUGUCCAUAAUCUCAGAGACAUUGUCCGCGAUCACAGAGACGUAGUCCUCGAUCACAGAAGAUCAGGUGUCACCACUUCAUCCACGACAUCGUCCAUGAUCGGAGAGACAUUGUUGAGGAUGAGGGAGACAUCGUCCUCGAUCAGAGACAUUGUCCGUGACUCGUGGUGACUCGGUCCCCGAUAAGUCGGCAUUGCCGGCGUUCAUGGAGACAUUGUCGAUGAUCGCAGAGACUUUGUCCACGAUCUCAGAGACAUUGUCCACGAUCGCAGAGACGUCGUCCACGAUCGCAGAGAAUCUUCGUACGGUGAAGUUCUUUGAGACCAGGACAGAGGCCUCCAGGUGUCACCACUUCGUCCACGACAUCGUCCACGAUCGCUGAGACGUCGUCAAUGAUCGGAGAGACAUUGUUGAGGAUGAGGGAGACAUCGUCCUCGAUCAGAGACAUUGUCCGUGACUCGUGGUGACUCGGUCCCCGAUAAGUCGGCAUUGCCGGCGUUCAUGGAGACAUUGUCGAUGAUCGCAGAGACUUUGUCCAUAAUCUCAGAGACAUUGUCCGCGAUCGCAGAGACGUAGUCCACGAUCACAGAAGACCAGGUGUCACCACUUCGUCCACGAUCGCUGAGACGUCGUCCAUGAUCGGAGAGACAUUGUUGAGGAUGAGGGAGACAUCGUCCACAAUCAGAGACAUUGUCCGUGAUCGCAGAGACCUUGUCAAAGAUGAGAGAGACGUUGUCCAUGGUCGGAAACAUUGUCUCUGCUUCGCAGAGCUCUGCGCAAGAAUCGGUAGUGACACUGUGGUUCCUCGAUUCGACGGCAUGACCGCGAUCAGCUGACAUUGUUAAUGAUCACAGAGAAACAGUCUAUCAUCAGAGACUUGGUCCACGAUCACAGACACAUUGUCAAUGAUUGCAGAGACUUUGUCCAUAAUCUCAGAGACAUUGUCCGCGAUCACAGAGACGUAGUCCUCGAUCACAGAAGAUCAGGUGUCACCACUUCAUCCACGACAUCGUCCAUGAUCGGAGAGACAUUGUUGAGGAUGAGGGAGACAUCGUCCUCGAUCAGAGACAUUGUCCGUGACUCGUGGUGACUCGGUCCCCGAUAAGUCGGCAUUGCCGGCGUUCACGGAGACAUUGUCGAUGAUCGCAGAGACUUUGUCCACGAUCUCAGAGACAUUGUCCGCGAUCACAGAGAGUCUUCGUACAGUAAAGUUCUUUGAGACCAGGACAGAGGCCUCCAGGUGUCACCACUUCAUCCACGACAUCAUCCACGACAUCGUCCACGAUCGCUGAGACAUCGUCAAUGAUCGGAGAGACAUUGUUGAGGAUGAGGGAGACAUCGUCCUCGAUCAGAGACAUUGUCCGUGACUCGUGGUGACUCGGUCCCCGAUAAGUCGGCAUUGCCGGCGUUCAUGGAGACAUUGUCGAUGAUCGCAGAGACUUUGUCCAUAAUCUCAGAGACAUUGUCCGCGAUCGCAGAGACGUAGUCCACGAUCACAGAAGACCAGGUGUCACCACUUCGUCCACGAUCGCUGAGACGUCGUCCAUGAUCGGAGAGACAUUGUUGAGGAUGAGGGAGACAUCGUCCACAAUCAGAGACAUUGUCCGUGAUCGCAGAGACCUUGUCAAAGAUGAGAGAGACGUUGUCCAUGGUCAGAAACAUUGUCUCUGCUUCGCAGAGCUCUGCGCAAGAAUCGGUAGUGACACUGUGGUUCCUCGAUUCGACGGCAUGACCGCGAUCAGCUGACAUUGUUAAUGAUCACAGAGAAACAGUCUAUCAUCAGAGACUUGGUCCACGAUCACAGACACAUUGUCAAUGAUUGCAGAGACUUUGUCCAUAAUCUCAGAGACAUUGUCCGCGAUCACAGAGACGUAGUCCUCGAUCACAGAAGAUCAGGUGUCACCACUUCAUCCACGACAUCGUCCAUGAUCGGAGAGACAUUGUUGAGGAUGAGGGAGACAUCGUCCUCGAUCAGAGACAUUGUCCGUGACUCGUGGUGACUCGGUCCCCGAUAAGUCGGCAUUGCCGGCGUUCAUGGAGACAUUGUCGAUGAUCGCAGAGACUUUGUCCACGAUCUCAGAGACAUUGUCCACGAUCGCAGAGACGUCGUCCACGAUCGCAGAGAAUCUUCGUACAAUGAAGUUCUUUGAGACCAGGACAGAGGCCUCCAGGUGUCACCACUUCGUCCACGACAUCGUCCACGAUCGCUGAGACGUCGUCAAUGAUCGGAGAGACAUUGUUGAGGAUGAGGGAGACAUCGUCCUCGAUCAGAGACAUUGUCCGUGACUCGUGGUGACUCGGUCCCCGAUAAGUCGGCAUUGCCGGCGUUCAUGGAGACAUUGUCGAUGAUCGCAGAGACUUUGUCCAUAAUCUCAGAGACAUUGUCCGCGAUCGCAGAGACGUAGUCCACGAUCACAGAAGACCAGGUGUCACCACUUCGUCCACGAUCGCUGAGACGUCGUCCAUGAUCGGAGAGACAUUGUUGAGGAUGAGGGAGACAUCGUCCACAAUCAGAGACAUUGUCCGUGAUCGCAGAGACCUUGUCAAAGAUGAGAGAGACGUUGUCCAUGGUCAGAAACAUUGUCUCUGCUUCGCAGAGCUCUGCGCAAGAAUCGGUAGUGACACUGUGGUUCCUCGAUUCGACGGCAUGACCGCGAUCAGCUGACAUUGUUAAUGAUCACAGAGAAACAGUCUAUCAUCAGAGACUUGGUCCACGAUCACAGACACAUUGUCAAUGAUUGCAGAGACUUUGUCCAUAAUCUCAGAGACAUUGUCCGCGAUCACAGAGACGUAGUCCUCGAUCACAGAAGAUCAGGUGUCACCACUUCAUCCACGACAUCGUCCAUGAUCGGAGAGACAUUGUUGAGGAUGAGGGAGACAUCGUCCUCGAUCAGAGACAUUGUCCGUGACUCGUGGUGACUCGGUCCCCGAUAAGUCGGCAUUGCCGGCGUUCACGGAGACAUUGUCGAUGAUCUCAGAGACUUUGUCCACGAUCUCAGAGACAUUGUCCGCGAUCACAGAGAGUCUUCGUACAGUGACGUUCUUUGAGACCAGGACAGAGGCCUCCAGGUGUCACCACUUCAUCCACGACAUCAUCCACGACAUCGUCCACGAUCGCUGAGACAUCGUCAAUGAUCGGAGAGACAUUGUUGAGGAUGAGGGAGACAUCGUCCUCGAUCAGAGACAUUGUCCGUGACUCGUGGUGACUCGGUCCCCGAUAAGUCGGCAUUGCCGGCGUUCAUGGAGACAUUGUCGAUGAUCGCAGAGACUUUGUCCAUAAUCUCAGAGACAUUGUCCGCGAUCGCAGAGACGUAGUCCACGAUCACAGAAGACCAGGUGUCACCACUUCGUCCACGAUCGCUGAGACGUCGUCCAUGAUCGGAGAGACAUUGUUGAGGAUGAGGGAGACAUCGUCCACAAUCAGAGACAUUGUCCGUGAUCGCAGAGACCUUGUCAAAGAUGAGAGAGACGUUGUCCAUGGUCAGAAACAUUGUCUCUGCUUCGCAGAGCUCUGCGCAAGAAUCGGUAGUGACACUGUGGUUCCUCGAUUCGACGGCAUGACCGCGAUCAGCUGACAUUGUUAAUGAUCACAGAGAAACAGUCUAUCAUCAGAGACUUGGUCCACGAUCACAGACACAUUGUCAAUGAUUGCAGAGACUUUGUCCAUAAUCUCAGAGACAUUGUCCGCGAUCACAGAGACGUAGUCCUCGAUCACAGAAGAUCAGGUGUCACCACUUCAUCCACGACAUCGUCCAUGAUCGGAGAGACAUUGUUGAGGAUGAGGGAGACAUCGUCCUCGAUCAGAGACAUUGUCCGUGACUCGUGGUGACUCGGUCCCCGAUAAGUCGGCAUUGCCGGCAUUCAUGGAGACAUUGUCGAUGAUCGCAGAGACUUUGUCCACGAUCUCAGAGACAUUGUCCACGAUCGCAGAGACGUUGUCCACGAUCGCAGAGAAUCUUCGUACAAUGAAGUUCUUUGAGACCAGGACAGAGGCCUCCAGGUGUCACCACUUCAUCCACGACAUCAUCCACGACAUCGUCCACGAUCGCUGAGACAUCGUCAAUGAUCGGAGAGACAUUGUUGAGGAUGAGGGAGACAUCGUCCUCGAUCAGAGACAUUGUCCGUGACUCGUGGUGACUCGGUCCCCGAUAAGUCGGCAUUGCCGGCGUUCAUGGAGACAUUGUCGAUGAUCGCAGAGACUUUGUCCAUAAUCUCAGAGACAUUGUCCGCGAUCGCAGAGACGUAGUCCACGAUCACAGAAGACCAGGUGUCACCACUUCGUCCACGAUCGCUGAGACGUCGUCCAUGAUCGGAGAGACAUUGUUGAGGAUGAGGGAGACAUCGUCCACAAUCAGAGACAUUGUCCGUGAUCGCAGAGACCUUGUCAAAGAUGAGAGAGACGUUGUCCAUGGUCAGAAACAUUGUCUCUGCUUCGCAGAGCUCUGCGCAAGAAUCGGUAGUGACACUGUGGUUCCUCGAUUCGACGGCAUGACCGCGAUCAGCUGACAUUGUUAAUGAUCACAGAGAAACAGUCUAUCAUCAGAGACUUGGUCCACGAUCACAGACACAUUGUCAAUGAUUGCAGAGACUUUGUCCAUAAUCUCAGAGACAUUGUCCGCGAUCACAGAGACGUAGUCCUCGAUCACAGAAGAUCAGGUGUCACCACUUCAUCCACGACAUCGUCCAUGAUCGGAGAGACAUUGUUGAGGAUGAGGGAGACAUCGUCCUCGAUCAGAGACAUUGUCCGUGACUCGUGGUGACUCGGUCCCCGAUAAGUCGGCAUUGCCGGCGUUCAUGGAGACAUUGUCGAUGAUCGCAGAGACUUUGUCCACGAUCUCAGAGACAUUGUCCACGAUCGCAGAGACGUCGUCCACGAUCGCAGAGAAUCUUCGUACGGUGAAGUUCUUUGAGACCAGGACAGAGGCCUCCAGGUGUCACCACUUCGUCCACGACAUCGUCCACGAUCGCUGAGACGUCGUCAAUGAUCGGAGAGACAUUGUUGAGGAUGAGGGAGACAUCGUCCUCGAUCAGAGACAUUGUCCGUGACUCGUGGUGACUCGGUCCCCGAUAAGUCGGCAUUGCCGGCGUUCAUGGAGACAUUGUCGAUGAUCGCAGAGACUUUGUCCAUAAUCUCAGAGACAUUGUCCGCGAUCGCAGAGACGUAGUCCACGAUCACAGAAGACCAGGUGUCACCACUUCGUCCACGAUCGCUGAGACGUCGUCCAUGAUCGGAGAGACAUUGUUGAGGAUGAGGGAGACAUCGUCCACAAUCAGAGACAUUGUCCGUGAUCGCAGAGACCUUGUCAAAGAUGAGAGAGACGUUGUCCAUGGUCGGAAACAUUGUCUCUGCUUCGCAGAGCUCUGCGCAAGAAUCGGUAGUGACACUGUGGUUCCUCGAUUCGACGGCAUGACCGCGAUCAGCUGACAUUGUUAAUGAUCACAGAGAAACAGUCUAUCAUCAGAGACUUGGUCCACGAUCACAGACACAUUGUCAAUGAUUGCAGAGACUUUGUCCAUAAUCUCAGAGACAUUGUCCGCGAUCACAGAGACGUAGUCCUCGAUCACAGAAGAUCAGGUGUCACCACUUCAUCCACGACAUCGUCCAUGAUCGGAGAGACAUUGUUGAGGAUGAGGGAGACAUCGUCCUCGAUCAGAGACAUUGUCCGUGACUCGUGGUGACUCGGUCCCCGAUAAGUCGGCAUUGCCGGCGUUCACGGAGACAUUGUCGAUGAUCGCAGAGACUUUGUCCACGAUCUCAGAGACAUUGUCCGCGAUCACAGAGAGUCUUCGUACAGUAAAGUUCUUUGAGACCAGGACAGAGGCCUCCAGGUGUCACCACUUCAUCCACGACAUCAUCCACGACAUCGUCCACGAUCGCUGAGACAUCGUCAAUGAUCGGAGAGACAUUGUUGAGGAUGAGGGAGACAUCGUCCUCGAUCAGAGACAUUGUCCGUGACUCGUGGUGACUCGGUCCCCGAUAAGUCGGCAUUGCCGGCGUUCAUGGAGACAUUGUCGAUGAUCGCAGAGACUUUGUCCAUAAUCUCAGAGACAUUGUCCGCGAUCGCAGAGACGUAGUCCACGAUCACAGAAGACCAGGUGUCACCACUUCGUCCACGAUCGCUGAGACGUCGUCCAUGAUCGGAGAGACAUUGUUGAGGAUGAGGGAGACAUCGUCCACAAUCAGAGACAUUGUCCGUGAUCGCAGAGACCUUGUCAAAGAUGAGAGAGACGUUGUCCAUGGUCAGAAACAUUGUCUCUGCUUCGCAGAGCUCUGCGCAAGAAUCGGUAGUGACACUGUGGUUCCUCGAUUCGACGGCAUGACCGCGAUCAGCUGACAUUGUUAAUGAUCACAGAGAAACAGUCUAUCAUCAGAGACUUGGUCCACGAUCACAGACACAUUGUCAAUGAUUGCAGAGACUUUGUCCAUAAUCUCAGAGACAUUGUCCGCGAUCACAGAGACGUAGUCCUCGAUCACAGAAGAUCAGGUGUCACCACUUCAUCCACGA